AUUUUCCGGUUGAUCCUGCCGGAGGUUACUGCUAUCGGUGUUCGACUAAGCCAUGCAAGUCAUAUGUUCUUCGUGAACAUGGCAUACUGCUCAGUAACACGUGGAUAACCUGCCCUUGGGUCUGGGAUAACCCCGGGAAACUGGGGAUAAUACCGGAUAACGCAUAUGUGCUGGAAUGCUUUAUGCGUAAAACGGAUUCGUCCGCCCAAGGAUGGGUCUGCGGCCUAUCAGGUAGUAGUGGGUGUAAUGUACCUACUAGCCAACAACGGGUACGGGUUGUGAGAGCAAGAGCCCGGAGAUGGAUUCUGAGACAUGAAUCCAGGCCCUACGGGGCGCAGCAGGCGCGAAAACUUUACAAUGCGGGAAACCGUGAUAAGGGAACACCGAGUGCCAGCAUCAUAUGCUGGCUGUCCAGAUGUGUAAACUACAUCUGUUAGCAAGGGCCGGGCAAGACCGGUGCCAGCCGCCGCGGUAACACCGGCGGCCCGAGUGGUGACCGUUAUUAUUGGGUCUAAAGGGUCCGUAGCCGGUUUGGUCAGUCCUCCGGGAAAUCUGAUAGCUUAACUGUUAGGCUUUCGGGGGAUACUGCCAGGCUUGGAACCGGGAGAGGUAAGAGGUACUACAGGGGUAGGAGUGAAAUCUUGUAAUCCCUGUGAGACCACCUGUGGCGAAGGCGUCUUACCAGAACGGGUUCGACGGUGAGGGACGAAAGCUGGGGGCACGAACCGGAUUAGAUACCCGGGUAGUCCCAGCCGUAAACUAUGCUCGCUAGGUGUCAGGCAUGGCGCGACCGUGUCUGGUGCCGCAGGGAAGCCGUGAAGCGAGCCACCUGGGAAGUACGGCCGCAAGGCUGAAACUUAAAGGAAUUGGCGGGGGAGCACAACAACGGGUGGAGCCUGCGGUUUAAUUGGAUUCAACGCCGGGAAU
rnacentral:rRNA from 1 species